UUUAAGUGGUGACUAAGCCCUGAGGGCUUCUCCUUCAUGAAUGGGAUUAAAGAUCUUAUAAGAGACUUCAUGUAGCCUUUGGCUCUCUUGCUCUUCUGCCUAGUGCUAUAUAAGGAUAGAGCUUUUCUCUCCUUCAGAGGACAUAGAAAGAUGCAAUCUUGGAAACAGAAAAUGCCCCUCACCACAUAACUGAGCCUACCAGCACCUUGAUUUUGGAUCUCCCAGCCUCCAAAAUGACAGGAUCUCUGUCAUCCAGACUGGAGUGCGGUAGCAUGACCACUUAUGACACUCUAGAACUCCUGGGCUCAAGCAGUCCUCCUACAUCAGCCUUCGGAGUAGAUGAAACUACAGGCUUGCAUCACCACACCAGCUAAUUUUUAAUUUUUUAGAGACGGGGCCUCCUUAUGCUGCCCAGGCUUGUCUGGAGCUCCUGGGCUCAAACAGUUCUCUCAUGUUGACCUUCCAAAGUGCUGGAAUUACAGGUAUGAGCCACUGUGCCAAGCUUUGACCUCAUUUUUUAAAGCACAGGAAUAUAAUGCUAUUUUCAUCAUUUUCAUUCAGUUAGAACAAUUAUGGUAAACAACGUCUGAAACUUAGACAUUUCUCAAAGACCUAAACCAUUUAAAAUGAUAUUUACAUUUCAUACUUUUUUCUUUUUCCUAAUAGUUUCCUUUCCUUUGUAAUAUUAUAGCUGAA
rnacentral:lncRNA from 1 species